GGGUGCCCUGUAGUCAGUUCAACCUUUCUCUAUUCCCUCCCCCGGCCCUCCCGAGCUCGUCGGCGGAGGGCGAAAAAAUGGCGGCGGCGAGCAAUACGGGAGGAGCUGCUGCCCUGCCCGACAACUCACUCGAGUUUCUACUGGAUCUGGUUGACAGGUUUCCGUUCAGAGAGGUCAUUGCGGACGUUGAGCAGCCAGAUCCGUUGGUGGUGAGGGUCGACUCCCUGUGCGCGGUUGUGGUUGGACACUUCGGCGGCGUUGUUGAGCACAUGAAUUCCGGCGGCUAGAAGAAAGAAUCACUAACACAGUCCGUCGAAUCGACCGGCAAGGUGAACCCAGAGGUGCCGGGGUGGACCAGAAGGUACAAAUGAAAUUAGUGUUCUUUAUGACGAGAUGGUUUUGAUUUUUGCAACUAAUGUCACAUAUUUUCUGUGUAUGUCAAUGGAUGCAUGGGGCUAUGAUUACUAGUGUCAGCUGGCUGCAGUCUGCACUCCUAAUUUUUGUGGUUGAGAAUUGGCCGUGCACCUCCGGAUAGGGCACUCUGCCCCUGGUAGAGUCACUCCACUUGAAGAAACAAAUCGGACAAUGUAGAGAAACCAGAGAUUGGGAUGAGUUUUGACUCCCUAGGGAAGCCUACGAUUUCUAUAAGUUGUAUAAGAUAUGGCAACUGUUGUCUGAAUGUCGAGCGGACAAAUUGUAUGCAGGAGAUCGUCUAUGGAUCCUCGGGAAAUCCUGAGCAGCAGAAUAGCUGGUCUUGCCGGUGCGAGUGCCCUUCAAUGAUCAGACUUCUUAGAGCUGCUCACAAUGGAUGGUUGAUAGCUGAACACCGGUCAAGCCACAACCAUUCAAUGUCCCUUACUUGCGGUGAAAAGGUUCAUUGGCCGUCCUACAAGCACAUAGAUAUGUAGACAAAAGACUUAGUGAAGCAGCUUAGGGGGAACAAUGUGAACCUCAACAAGGUGUACAUCAUAGUUGUCAGCUUCUCCUGUUCAUCUCAGAAUGUGCCUUUGACAAAGCGGUCUUCUCCCGAAUCUGUGUGGCAGGAUAAGUCGAGACCAGGCUGCCGAUGAUGUGAACAAGACCCUUGCUGUGUUUAAAGAGAUACAGCGCAACGACCCUUGUGGACAAAUGAAAACAACAAGCUGCAGUACAAAUUCUUUGGUGAUGUCAUCACAUUUGACACAACGUAUCGGACUAAUUAAUCUCUAUGACAUGCCCUUUGGGUUGUUUGUUGGAGUGAACAAUCACUUCCAGAGCGUAAUUCUAGCUGGUGUCUGGGUGCGUGACGAGCAAGUGAGUACUUCCAAUGGAUGUUCUCUGAAUUCAUUAACAUGAUGAGGGGUAUACACUUGCAGACAAUACUGACAGAUAUGUACAUCACUCUCUGAGCAGCACAUAUUACGGCUAAUAUGUGAAUUGUACAUACAAAUAACUAUGUUGUUCCAUGUGCAAAUUGCAGAUCAAGUGAGAGCCAUGGAAUUGCAAUCAAGACUGAGUUACCCGGGACUGUGCACACCUACUUGGUGGCCCCGAUGAUAUGGUCGGGGGAGGCGGUGGCAUUAUGUCCACAAUGAGGAUAUGUAUAUUCUUUAGCAUAUACAUAUUUUUUUUUCAAGUACUACUACAUACUUAAUAAUUAGUCUUAACUUCUGGAGUGUGAAUUGCCUAUAUAGUGUCAGUUUUCAGAAAACAACCUUGUUUAUGUGAUGGUUCAAUGGUCGAAUGAUAUUAUUCUUGACAAACUUGUUUUAUAGAAACAAAUGGUGUUGCACAUACACGUCUUAGAAAAAUCAACAAGCAGUAUUGGUGGUUUGUGAGAACUGUACCUUUGAAUCCAGUGAGAAUCAGGGUGCUGGUAUUUUGAGUCCAGUGAGAACCUUUGAAUUCUUUUUUCGGGGCAUUGUUCAGAUUCUUUUGAUAGGGCCUAGUUAAUUAGUCCUAAAAGCAUACAAUCAUGUUGGGGGUACUUGUCAUAAAGUCCCUCUCAUUUCACUCCAUUCAAAAAACAAUUGAAGAUUUGUACAGCUGAUCAGGCUUUAAACUUUGCUGAUUGUUUGCGGAGGGACAACUUGACAGCAUGCUCUUUCAUCAUUUCAUUGCAAAAUACUCUUUAUUCAAAACUCUUCUGCUAACUAAACUGCCUUUUGUGAACACAUAGUAUAGUCGAGCAUUCAUAUGGUGAUUUCCAACUACAGAAUUAUCACUGAAUCCACAUCCUGGAAGCGGAACGAUCUCCAAACCUCAUGCUCGAAUUGGUUUGCACAAGUAAUUAUUUACCAACUGGAUUCAAAUAUGUAAGCAUGGCCAUCUGUCUACUAUAUUUUUGAUUAUGCCAAUGACCAUCUGCCAGUGCAUCAGUUCUUAUCCAUCUCACAAUUAACUUAUUUCCGUUUUGUGCCGGGCAAAGUCUUCCAAGCAAAACUGCAGGAAGCAAGAAACCAAGCAGUAAUUUGUAAUCCUGUUGAGUUUACUGAAUGGGCUUCAUGUUUACUAAAUGUUGAGUUUACUGAAUGGACAUCAUGCUUCAGAAUUUUGAGGGUUCUCUUCACUGUACACUGAUUCUUGGGUCUUGUGUCUUAUGUACACUUUCUGAAUCUUGUGUCUUUCUCAAUGAGCAAGAAAUCAAGCAAAACGUUGAGUUUA